GGAUGUGAGGGCAAUCUGGCUGCGACAUCUGUCACCCCAUUGAUCACCAAGGUUGAUUCAGUUGAUCUGGCUGGCUAAGCGGGUGUCCCCUUCCUCCCUCAACGAUCCAUGUGCGUCCAUCCUGAAGCUGCACGCUCAGUCAAAGAGGAUGACCACCCCCGAUAGAGGAGGACCGUUCUUCAGUCAAGGGUAUAUGAGUAGCUGCGCUCCCCUGCUAGAACCUCCAAACAAGCUCUCAAGAAAAUGAAAAGAUAUUCCUUGCUCCUGGAUGAGAAGAACUAAUACUGUGAAAAUAGCCAUACUCCCAAAAUUGU
rnacentral:snRNA from 1 species